GCACAUGGUAGUCGAGAGGAAUGGCAUCGUGAUAGUGCACGUGUUCUCAUUGAUAAGUUCGAAGAGGAGGCUAAGCUGCGAGGAUUGGCAAAUCAGGUAUUUGUUACUGCUUGCUAUCACACUGGAGGCCACAAUGGAAAAUUGAUUAUCUACAGCCCGGGAUCAGAUGGAAGCAUAACAGGCCAUUGGUAUGGCUACAUCCUUCCAAGUGAUGUGCCAGAAUUGCUUGAUCAGCAUAUUGGGAAGGGAAGGAUUAUAGAACGACUUUGGAGGGGUCAAAUUGGAGCAUCUUCUGAUGAAGCUGAAGAAAUUAAUGACCGCGAGCUUCCAAAUGGAGAAGAAAAUAAGAAAAUCGAGGAGAAGCCACAAGAAACUGGCAAUCAGAUUUUCCAAGAAAACGACGAUCAGAUUCAGAAUAAUGAGAACUUUUCAGGCUGUUGCAAAGUGUGCUAAUAGUGACAGGAAGGAUGCCUUGGGGAAACGAUGUUCUCGCAGCUGCUGACGUGGUUGGAGCAGUGGCAACAGUGGAUGUGGCCUAUAGCUUUUAUGCUGAAACGUACUCUAAUCUAUGUCAGGUUUUGCGACCGGUGUUGGGGCCCUAUUUUCUUUUUCAUUUUUUCUUUGUAGAAAGAUGUUAUAACGUCGAUUAAAUAAUCCUCCGAACCAUGCUCUUUCAUAGAAAUCUAAUUAACUGUUGAAUGGUUU